ACCGCACAAGCACUCUACCUCCAUUGCCAAAACCGCGGCUCCACCUCCACUUUUCUUCACAAUCCAACUUCUCACCUCAGCUCCACAACACCAUUUCCCUUUCGGAUCAGCAGCUGGAGCAAGGUAGGAGAGCUGAAAUCCGCAAGCUACACCCAGUUUUCCAGCCGCAACAACCACCACAGCUCCACCAUCUGCUCAGCCAAGACAACCCCAAACCAGUCGCGAGCCUAGGGAAAUAAUUCUGCCCAGAUUUGUUCGUGCGUGAACGGAGCAUUAGCAGAGGGUAUCGUGAGGAAGUGGAACUCGAAUCCCAAUUUGACAUCUGAACUUCACUCUUGGUCUUGAAGUUUGAGAAAUCUGAGCAGUGCUGAUUUCUUUUAAUUUGUACUUGAAUCUUAAGACUGCAGUUUACCGUUGUAUUGUAUUGUGAAUUGAAAAACGUAUUGGUUAUUUUGGAUUGCCACUUGAAGCUGGAAAAUGUUUAAACCCUAAUUAUUAUGUUUGGCUUGUAUGGUUGUAAUCGUGGUGUGUGACAGUAUAUAUCCGGA